UGAUAGGUCAGGUGUGUAAGCGCAGUAAUGCGUUCAGCUAACUGAUACUAAUUGCCCGUAAGGCUUGAUCCUAUAACA
rnacentral:rRNA from 1 species